UUGGAGGGCAAGUCUGGUGCCAGCAGCCGCGGUAAUUCCAGCUCCAAUAGCGUAUAUUAAAGUUGUUGCAGUUAAAAAGCUCGUAGUUGAAUUUCGGAAUCAAUUUGUUGGUCGUGCCUCGGUACGUACUGGUAUUAUUGGUUUCUACCUUCUGAAGAACCUUGAUGUCAUUAGUUUGGUGUCUUGGGGAAUCAGGACUGUUACUUUGAAAAAAUUAGAGUGUUUAAAGCAAGCAUACGCUUGAAUACAUUAGCAUGGAAUAAUGAAAUAGGACGUUUGAUUCUAUUUUGUUGGUUUCUAGGAUCGACGUAAUGAUUAAUAGGGAUAGUUGGGGGCAUUAGUAUUCAAUUGUCAGAGGUGAAAUUCUUGGAUUUAUUGAAGACUAACUACUGCGAAAGCAUUUGCCAAGGAUGUUUUCAUUAAUCAAGAACGAAAGUUAGGGGAUCGAAGACGAUCAGAUACCGUCGUAGUCUUAACCAUAAACUAUGCCGACUAGGGAUCGGAUGAUGUUAAUUUUUUAAUGACUCAUUCGGCGCCUUACGGGAAAC
rnacentral:rRNA from 1 species